AUCAACGCUGGCGGCGUGCCUCAGACAUGCAAGUCGAACGCGAAAGUCCCCUUCGGGGGACAAGUAGAGUGGCGUCCGGGUGAGUAACACGUAGGUAAUCUACCUUCGGGUGGGGAAUAACCCAGGGAAGCUUGGGCUAAUACCGCAUAAUGCAGCGGCACCACAUGGUGACAGUUGUUAAAGCGGGGGAUCUUAGGAUCUCGCGCCUGAAGAGGAGCCUGCGGCAGAUUAGCUAGUUGGUAAGGUAAUGGCUUACCAAGGCGACGAUCUGUAGCCGGCCUGAGAGGGCGGUCGGCCACACUGACACUGACAUACGGGUCAGACUCCUACGGGAGGCAGCAGUCGGGAAUUUUGGGCAAUGGGCGAAAGCCUGACCCAGCAACGCCGCGUGAAGGAUGAAAUCCUUCGGGAUGUAAACUUCGCAAGAAUGGGAAGAAUUAGUAGGGGCUAAUACCCUCUAUGAUGACGGUACCAUUUGUAAGCUCCGGCUAACUCCGUGCCAGCAGCCGCGGUAAUACGGGGGGAGCAAGCGUUGUUCGGAUUUACUGGGCGUAAAGGGCGCGUAGGCGGCCAGCACAAGUCAGUUGUGAAAUCUCCGGGCUUAACUCGGAAAGGUCAACUGAUACUGUGCGGCUAGAGUGCGGAAGGGGCAACUGGAAUUCUCGGUGUAGCGGUGAAAUGCGUAGAUAUCGAGAGGAACACCUGCGGCGAAGCGGGUUGCUGGGCCGACACUGACGCUGAUGCGCGAAAGCCAGGGGAGCGACGGGAUAGAUACCCCGGUAGUCUGUCUUAACGAUGGAUGCUUGGUGUCUGGAGUUUAUAGUCUCCGGUGCCGCAGCUACGCGUAAGCAUCCCGCCUGGGGAGUACGUCGCAGACUGAACUCAAAGGAUUGACG
rnacentral:rRNA from 1 species